GUUUGACUCCCGUUUAGACUUCAUAACUUUUUAUAUCUAUAUCUAAUCUAUUUUGGGUCGACCCAUCGUUCAAAGAGUGUGAGAAUGGAAGAGUUGUUUCAAAGUCGCGGGCUCCGUUACCGUCUUGGCUUCAGAAGGUAAUUACCGAAGCGACCAAUGAUGCUCGUAUCGGAAAAGAGGCUCGGCAUUUCGUGUACCGCGCAGUGUGGAGUCGACUCCAGCGAAGUGGGAAAGUGAAGCGCGGAGAAAUGGUAAUUUAUCCAGAAGAGUUUACGCAACAACUGCAAGACUUAUUUCCC